rnacentral:rRNA from 1 species
UGAGUGCGAGCUGCUACGGCAGCGAAGUUGGUGACGUCAAGCUUCCAAGAAAAGCCCUAUACCCGUUAAGGCAUCAUGGCCUGUACCCGAAACCGACACAGGUGGGGUGGUAGAGAAUACCGAGGGGCGCGAGGUAACUCUCUCUAAGGAACUCGGCAAAAUGGCCCCGUAACUUCGGGAGAAGGGGUGCCACCGCAAGGUGGUCGCAGUGAAGAGGCCCAGGCGACUGUUUACCAAAAACACAGGUCUCCGCUAAGUCGCAAGACGAUGUAUGGGGGCUGACGCCUGCCCAGUGCCGGAAGGUUGAGGAAGCUGGUCAGCGCAAGCGAAGCUGGCGACUGAAGCCCCGGUGAACGGCGGCCGUAACUAUAACGGUCCUAAGGUAGCGAAAUUCCUUGUUGGGUAAGUUCCGACCCGCACGAAAGGCGUAACGAUCUGGGCGCUGUCUCGGAGAGAGGCUCGGCGAAAUAGAAUUGUCUGUGAAGAUGCGGACUACGUGCACCCGGACAGAAAGACCCUAUGAAGCUUUACUGUAGCUUGGUAUUGUGCCCGGGCUCUGAAUGCGCAGGAUAGGUGGGAGGCUUUGAUCAUCGGCUUGCGGGUCGAUGUGAGCCAACGGUGAGAUACCACUCUUUCAGAGCUAGGGUUCUAACAGUCACCCGUUAUCCGGGGACUGGACAGUAUCAGGUGGGCAGUUUGACUGGGGCGGUCGCCUCCUAAAAGGUAACGGAGGCGCGCAAAGGUCUGCUCAGGCUGGUUGGAAAUCAGCCGACGAGUGUAAAAGCAGAAGCAGGCUUGACUGUGAGACCUACAAGUCGAACAGGGAGGAAACUCGGCUUUAGUGAUCCGACGGUUCUGCGUGGAAGGGCCGUCGCUCAACGGAUAAAAGUUACUCUAGGAUAACAGGCUGAUCUCCCCCAAGAGUUCACAUCGACGGGGAGGUUUGGCACCUCGAUGUCGGCUCAUCGCAACCUGGGGCUGAAGUCGGUCCCAAGGGUUGGGCUGUUCGCCCAUUAAAGCGGUACGCGAGCUGGGUUCAGAACGUCGUGAGACAGUUCGGUCCAUAUCCGGUGCAUGCGCAGGAAUAUUGAGAGGAGUUCUCCCUAGUACGAGAGGACCGGGAGGAACGCACCUCUGGUGUACCAGUUAUCGUGCCAACGGUAAACGCUGGGUAGCCAUGUGCGGAGAGGAUAACCGCUGAAAGCAUCUAUGUGGGAAGCCCACCUCAAGAUGAGUAUUCCCAUGGCGUUAGCCAGUAAGGUCACGGGAAGAACACCCGUUGAUAGGCUCUAUGUGGAAGCGCAGUAAUGCGUGAAGCAGAGGAGUAC